GCGUUAAGCCCCGCCCAGGCCCCUGUCUUUUUAUGUCGGGCGGCCCCGUGUGUCUUUCUUUUCCACAUCAUGGCGGUCCGGUUCGAUAUGUGAAGUACUCUUUGCUGCAGAUGGUAUCUAUUGUUGUUUGGGGAAAAUUUGGUGACUAAACAUUAUCCCGCCUUCCGAUCCUUGAAGUAAUCUGUUCCUGAGUGGGGACCAGCAAGCUUUUGGGGAUGGUGUCGAACCAGGUUUUCGGCCCCGGAACGGUCUUUUCUGCGGUGGAAAUGCAUGGAACGGUUCAAGAAUUCGCACCGGCCCAGGAACCCACCCUCUGAACCUUGUUGGUGGAGAAGGGCUAGCGUGGCACAUUGCAGGUUCUGAUCAUUGAUGGCAGAGGCCAUCUGCUCGGUCGCCUUGCCGCUAUUGUGGCCAAACAAGUCCUGCUCUGCUACAACGUUGUUGUAGUAGUAAGAUGUGAAUCAACCUAUCUGGUAACUUCUACCACAACAAACGGAUAAAACACCAACCCUUCCUGUGGACCUUAUCACUUCAGAGCCCCCAGUUGUAUCUUCUGGAGAACAGUAAGAGGUAUGCUUCCACACAAGACCAAGAGGGGUCAGGCUGCUCUGGAGAGGCUGAAGGUGUUUGACGGCAUCCCCUCCUUAUGAAAAG